ACAAAUACACUUUGUAUACACACAUACACAUGUAUUUGUCUGUAUCUUUGCUAGGUGGUCUUGAUAGAGAGGAGACGAGUACGGAGUUUGGGGAAGCUGAUGCCAUCCUUCAUCAGGAUUUGAUUUGCAUUUUUUAUGAUAUUCUAGACUGACGCUUACUACUAAAAGUGCGACACGUAAUCUAUCCUGAAAGAGCAGACAUUUUAGAAUUUAAAAGGGAACCAGGAUUCUCAUUCGAAGAAAAACAACUACUCUGACAUGCUUUAUGAUCCACAUGAGCAUCAGACCCUUAGAGGUUAUGUAUUCACUUUUUUAUUAAAGAGAAAAAAUUGAUGACAGAACAAAUCAAAUGUUGUACAUUGGAAGCCAAGAACAACAGCACAAGCCUUCUAACAUUAAUGGAGAGUUUGCUUACUUUGUUUUCUUUAGGAAAACAACAAAUCAGAUGAAAGCAAAGGGGAGAAGACUGAUUUUUCUUCUGCUGGACAUCUCACUUUUAAUAAAGCCAUCAUAAGACCAUACACAAAUCAGGUCAGUUAGAAAGAGAUUCUGCUCAGGGAAGACAAAAGAAAAACCACAUGUGACCUACUGAGAGGGGGGACGCACAUACGAGGUCAACUGUCUGUUGCCUGGUUCUCACUA
rnacentral:lncRNA from 1 species